CCGUGCUAGGCGGGGAACUAGCGGUGCCCUGUACCUGCAAUCCGCUCCAGCAGGGCUGAAUUCCCACCCGAGGUCAACGUCUCCGAAGGCCGCCGGCCCGGACGGUGCCGAGGACCGGGUCCCGCGCAGCGACGACACGCGAACCGCGUCAGGUCCGGAAGGAAGCAGCGCUAAGCGAGGCUCGUCGGGUGCCGCGGCACGGCCUGGUCUGAGCCGUCUCUCCCGGGGGGCGCGGGGGCGCGUCGAUCGACGGUGGGUGCACGG
rnacentral:SRP_RNA from 1 species